AGAGUUUGAUCCUGGCUCAGAGUGAACGCUGGCGGUAGGCCUAACACAUGCAAGUCGAACGGCAGCACAGGAGAGCUUGCUCUCUGGGUGGCGAGUGGCGGACGGGUGAGGAAUACAUCGGAAUCUACUUUUCGUGGGGGAUAACGUAGGGAAACUUACGCUAAUACCGCAUACGACCUACGGGUGAAAGCAGGGGAUCUUCGGACCUUGCGCGAUUGAAUGAGCCGAUGUCGGAUUAGCUAGUUGGCGGGGUAAAGGCCCACCAAGGCGACGAUCCGUAGCUGGUCUGAGAGGAUGAUCAGCCACACUGGAACUGAGACACGGUCCAGACUCCUACGGGAGGCAGCAGUGGGGAAUAUUGGACAAUGGGCGCAAGCCUGAUCCAGCCAUACCGCGUGGGUGAAGAAGGCCUUCGGGUUGUAAAGCCCUUUUGUUGGGAAAGAAAAGCAGUCGGUUAAUACCCGAUUGUUCUGACGGUACCCAAAGAAUAAGCACCGGCUAACUUCGUG
rnacentral:rRNA from 1 species